rnacentral:rRNA from 2 species
UACGUAGGGUGCAAGCGUUAAUCGGAAUAACUGGGCGUAAAGGGUGCGCAGGCGGAUUUGCAAGACAGAUGUGAAAGCCCUGGGCUUAACCUGGGAACUGCAUUUGUGACUGCAAGUCUAGAGUAUGGCAGAGGGAGGUGGAAUUCCAUGUGUAGCAGUGAAAUGCAUAGAGAUAUGGAGGAACACCGAUGGCGAAGGCAGCCUCCUGGGCCAAUACUGACGCUCAGGCACGAAAGCGUGGGGAGCAAACAGG